rnacentral:lncRNA from 1 species
AAGGAAUUUUGCUUUGUUUUGUAAAAAGAAUGAUUUUUUCUUGAUUAAUAAAAGCUGCAGUGAUUUCCAGGUUUUCCCUGGGUUUUGACUGUGUAAUUGAUUUACCGUUAUCCCCGGCAACACUUGAAUGGCUUGGUUUGCUUUUGUUUUUCUAAAAAACCCAUACUUUCCUUUCUUGUCCUUGUACUUCGUAUCACUCUGCUUAAAGCACUUUUAAGUAUAUUCUUGUGCUGUAAAAUUAGUCUAAUUUAUCUUUGCUCAACGUAUCUGUGUUUAGAAUACCUUGUUGAUGAUACUGAUGAACUUAUUUGCAGGAAUAAAGGGAAUAAAUAAAAGGAAUAAAGGGCAGGAAUAAAGACGUGAAAGUAGGAAAUGGACUUGUGUAUAUAGUGGGAGAAGGAGAGGGUGGGACAAAUUGAGAGGGUACAUUGACGUAUAUUCACUACUAUGUAUAAAAUAGAUAGCUAGUGGGAAGUUGCUGUGUGACACAGGGAGCCCAGCUCAGUCCUCUGUGAUGACGUAGAUGGGUAGGAUGGAUGUAGGGUGGGAGGGAGGUCCAAGAGGGAGGGGAUAUAUGUAUAAUUAUGGCUGAUUCAUGUUGUUGUAUGGCAGAAAUCAACACAAUACUGUAAAGCAAUUAUCCUCCAAUUAAAAAUUUUAAAAUAGAAUAAAAUACCUUGUCUUCCUCUUUUCCAACUCUACGGAUAAACUCUAGGUUAAACUAUUUAACCUAGUCACUCCCAAACCCCUUUAACUUCUUAUAUAUUAACCUCUGUUAAUCAUAGUAGGUGAUGGAGUCCAAACAUUUUAUUUAAUAAAGAGAAGAUCACAUCCAUUGAAUGUCACUUACGAGAGUUGUAAAGACGAGGCAUCCAUCCUUCCAUUUCUUCUCUCAACAAAUGAUGGGCAGAUCACCAUAGGCAUAGAAUUCUGUCCUCUGCAAACCAAUUUGGCUAACCCCAUUUUGUCAAGUAAUUUUGGUGUGGGAAAUAACCAGUGGGAAAGCAAGUGGGGAAAGAAAAAUAAGUAGUAAGAUUCUGAACAGAUGUUCAGCACAGCGGGAGAUAGUGUUUCAGACCUGAGAUCCAACUUGUAAAAGAAAGUGUGUAGAGGCUUGCAUUUUGAAAGGAACCCCAGACAGGAAAAGAUUAUACUUUGUGGCAAAGACACAACAGGGAGACCUAAAUGAAAUCAUGACUACUUUCCUUGUGGAACCACAGAGAAGAAUGUGGGGUAAGGAAGCCCAUUAGCAGAUGACAUGCCUUGGAGGCGGGGGUGGAGAGGGGGAAGGCGAUCCUUUGUCACUGCCUGGGCACAUGUGGUUGGCCGUUUGUGUACGUAGUAUAUAAGGCUCUGAAUUGCCUUUUUAUUUAGCAUC